rnacentral:lncRNA from 10 species
GGAUAUGUUCAGCUUCCUUUACCUUCCAUCUGUGUUUGUUCUCAGAGAAAAAGGGUUGCAAAAAGGAAUAGAAUUGCGGGGGAAACAUACUCUCUAUGAUACUGGGAUAUACAUCUCAGCACUUGAAGGCAUCCAGCAUACACUUGUGUUUGUUCCUGGUAGACAGAGUAAUAAUCUGGCAGAAAAAUAAAACAAUAGAUGCCAACUAAUAGCUGACUGAACUUGUUUAAGAGCUGAAUCAGUUCUUCCAAGACUCCCAGAAGUUUCUUGGCAGGGCAGGCACACAAGGGGAAUAGGCGCUAGCCAGGAAAACAAGGAUAACAAAAAAGCCAUUUCUUGUCAGGGGUAUUGGGAAGAAAGGCUCAGAAUACCAGAAGCUGAAUAUGAAUCUGGGAAUACCACAGCUUUGCUGUGUGAGCCAGUGCUAUGCACAGAUCCAAGGACUAAACAAAGGGAAUGGCCAGAAGCAAGUGCCUGUGACUUUACAGUAGCCACAUGGUUGCAGGCUUACGUGUGUUCCUUUAUUCAACAGAUGGUCACCUUGGGCCUCAUUCCAGCCUGGGUCCCAAAGACUGCCUCAACCGGAACUUGGAAGGUUCCUUAGCAUUUGACACUGGUAACUUUUAGAAAAGGAAGGGAGAAGUAAGGUACAGAUUCCCACUGGAGCCACCCUGCCAUCAGACAUCUCUGCCAUACCCCAUACUGCACUGGUCUGUGUGUACCCAAACCCCCCCAAGUCAGCAUGCAAAUAAUUUGCAUGCCAUUUCUACACACUAUUUUAUAAGUUAACACCUUAAAUGCCGAAUUUGGCCUGCCUCUGCUUUCCAAGUUUCGGCACCCAGUUUACUAUUAUCUAUUUCUUUUCUUUCCUUUCUUGUUUUUCUUUCUUCAAACUAGCUGUGCCUGCACCAGCCCCAGCCCUCGAGAACAGCUCUUACCUAUUUCACCCAGUUCACUUCCAGCCAAAGCCACAGGCUUAUCCCACAGUGAAAAGGACAGAGGCCCUCCAUCAAAGCUUUUUUCUGUGUUGGGCAUAUACCCAACACACACAGACUCAGCUUGGAUGUCCUCUCACCCCUUGACCCCAUCUUUCUGACUAAUCCCUUCCACUCCGCAUCAAUCUGGGGCUCUGUGACCCUCCCUUCCCAAGUUCACAUCUACCUCCCUGGCUGCAGCUAUUCAGAAUCUGAACUCUGACCCCUGCCCAGGACCUCUCACUCUGAAGAAGAGUCCAGGGCUACAACACCCAACACCAGACCUCUGUAGCUCCCUGGGAACAAUAGAGCAGUGAUUCUCAAAGUGCAGUCCCUGGACCAGCAGCCUCAGCC